UAAUUUACCUGGACAGGUCGACUCGCGAUCAAUAAGACGAGUGACCUAGGUUAAUGACCUCAUUUCACAUAUACGUUAUUAUUUGUGGCAGAAGGGGGAGGGGGAUGUUUGCGUUCGCGCCCG